UACGUAGGGUGCAAGCGUUGUCCGGAAUUAUUGGGCGUAAAGAGCUCGUAGGCGGUUUGUCGCGUCUGCUGUGAAAUCUCGGGGCUUAACUCCGGGCCUGCAGUGGGUACGGGCAGACUAGAGUGCGGUAGGGGAGACUGGAAUUCCUGGUGUAGCGGUGAAAUGCGCAGAUAUCAGGAGGAACACCGGUGGCGAAGGCGGGUCUCUGGGCCGUAACUGACGCUGAGGAGCGAAAGCGUGGGGAGCGAACAGG
rnacentral:rRNA from 1 species